AUGUUACUACUGACAGCUCUUAUGGCCUCACUGCUUUGGUCUCAUGGAUUUGCUCAAGAAAUUCCUCAGCAGAGCCCUGUAUCUAUCACCAAGGCCCGAAAAAGUGCACGCAUGAGCUGCGAAAUUACUACCUUACUGGAAAGUUUUGAGAGUACUGUCAUACACUGGUACCAACAGAAGGACGGAAACCCCCCAAAGAGGCUACUGUACUUCUCACAAGGGAAGACUUUUGUUGAAAGUGGCUUUCAACAGAACAGGUGGAUUUGCACAAGAAAUUCCCCAGCAGAGCCCUAUAUCCAUCACCAAGUCUAAAGGAAGUGUACGUCUGAAAUGUCACUUUAAAGACUUCUCUGGAAAUUUUGAAGGCACCAUCAUACACUGGUAUCAACAGAAGAAG